rnacentral:rRNA from 1 species
AUUGAACUCUGGCGGCAGACCUAACACAUGCAAGUCGAGCGAGCGGCGGACGGGUGAGUAAUGUCUGGGAAACUGCCUGAUGGAGGGGGAUAACUACUGGAAACGGUAGCUAAUACCGCAUACCAUCAGAUGUGCCCAGAUGGGAUUAGCUAGUAGGUGGGGUAACGGCUCACCUAGGCGACGAUCCCUAGCUGGUCUGAGAGGAUGACCAGACAAACUGGAACUGAGACAAGGUCAAGACGCCUAAGGGAGGAAGAAGGGGGGAAUAUUGGACAAUGGGCGAAAGCCUGAUGAAGCAAGGCCGCGUGUGUGAAGAAGGCCUGCGGGUUGUAAAGCACUUGCAGCGGGGAGGCGGUACACGCAGAAGAAGCACCGGCUAACUCCGUGCCAGCAGCCGCGGUAAUUC